AUUGAACGCUGGCGGCAUGCUUUACACAUGCAAGUCGAACGGUAACAGGCCGCAAGGUGCUGACGAGUGGCGAACGGGUGAGUAAUGCAUCGGAACGUGCACAGUCGUGGGGGAUAACGCAGCGAAAGCUGCGCUAAUACCGCAUACGAUCUAUGGAUGAAAGCGGGGGACCGUAAGGCCUCGCGCGAUUGGAGCGGCCGAUGUCUGAUUAGGUAGUUGGUGGGGUAAAGGCUCACCAAGCCGACGAUCUGUAGCUGGUCUGAGAGGCCGACCGACACCACUGGGACGAGGACACGGCCCAUAAUCAUACGGGAGGGAGCAGUGGGGAAUUUUAGACAAUGGGCGCAAGCCUGAUCCAGCAAUGCCGCGUGCAGGAAGAAGGCCUUCGGGUUGUAAACUGCCUUUGUACGGAACGAAAAGGCUCUGGUUAAUACCUGGGGCUCAUGACGGUACCGUAAGAAUAAGCACCGGCUAACUACGUGCCAGCCGCCGCCGUAAUAC
rnacentral:rRNA from 1 species